rnacentral:lncRNA from 1 species
AUGCACAGAGGCAGAGCUGGCCAUUGUACAGACAUGGGUGCCAAAAUGAUGAAAACAACAGGUGAAGGUGGUCUCCGCAUGGGAACAGACAAGAGAAAGUCUGAAUUACGUGGUUCUGCUCACAUAUCCAGGGGUGGUUUCUCAAGGCAUGUCUUCAUUGGAGAGCCUCUUCUACCCAGUGCAAGGCCUGCAGGAGCCCUGGGUUGGGCAUCCAAACCUCACACAAGAUCCUGA